CACCAAUGAAAGAGAGCAAGGGGCACGCCCUGGGGACUGUUGACCGCAGGCGCUGGGGCUGAAAAGAGAGCCGGGGACAGAGUGCCUGGCAAGACGACAAGAAAAGGCUAAUUAUUUGCUGGACCUGGCUUCUGGUAGAAACAGAUACUUUAAAUCGUAUGUGGCUUUCACUGACUAAGAUUCCCUGGGUCUCUGUGGCUUCUUUGAACUAUACAGAGCUCAAUUCUGGAAAGGUCUGAGCUAAGGGCUCAAAAUGAAGCUAUAAAUAUAUUAUAUGUUCAUCAAACAGGAUGGACUACCCUCACCAUGUGGUCAGAAUUGUUCUUGGCAUUGGAUGGAAUAAAAAGAAAUAUAUGGCAGGGUCACACAGAAAAGUAAUUUUUAAGAGCCUGUAAGAGUUCAAAAAUAGGGGUAAACAGCAUGGGAUGCCCUUCUUAGAGAAGGCUUAAUCAUUUCAUUUUAAAAACAAAAAGUUUAAGUCAUUUUUAAAAAGUAAAUAUUUUUGUUAAGAUGAUAUUUUGGUCAGGAAUAUCACAAGUGUAUUAUAUGGGGUUGUUGAUUACAAAUUAUGGAAUGGUGUUUUCUAGGUAAGCCUGGUAGUAAGUAAGCAUCUCGAGAAAUCUCUUCUUUUCAGGCUUUAAGUUAAAAGCAGAGAUCAAUUUUUCUAUAGUUAGUUUUUGGAGCUUUCAUUUGUGCUUAAAAUGUAAAACAGUGAAACAGAAUGCAUACUGAGAAGUGUAAUUUUUUUUCAUAAAUGCAAAUUUUAGUUCAUAAAAUAUUUUAUUGAAUGGGAAUAUUUUUAAAAAUUGAAAUAUAUACUUUAAAAAUUAUUGUUUUAAAACUAAAAAAAGGAAUCAAG